CCCUUAGAUGUUCUGGGCCGCACGCGCGCUACACUGUUCGACGCAGCGAGUCUUAACCUUGACCGAAAGGUUUGGGUAAUCUUCAGCAAAGUCGAACGUGAUGGGGAUCGAUCAUUGCAAUUAUUGAUCGUGAACGAGGAAUUCCUAGUAAGUGCAAGUCAUCAGCUUGCGCUGAUCACGUCCCUGCCCUUUGUACACACCGCCCGUCGCUACUACCGAUUGAAUGGUUUAGUGAGAUCUCUGGAUUGACGCUGGCUAGGGGGCGACCCUUGGCCAGACUGUUGAGAAACUGCUCAAACUUGAUCAUUUAGAGGAAGUAAAAGUCGUAACA
rnacentral:rRNA from 1 species